GCAUGGUUACGUCUCUGUGCCAGCAGAAGAAGCUCUCGGAGUGCUGUUUAGAGCACCGCAGCUGGAAGCUGCAUUUGAAUGUGGAUCCUGUUUGUGCUGCAUUCCCCACGUUUUGAUGGAAAACAGGAAAAAGCAUGAAAGAAAAGUCAGUGAAGGGAGUAGAACACAGGAUUCACAGAAGGCAAGAAAAAAAUUCACAGGCCAGAACUCCAGGAAUCUGAAGUCUCUGAAACUGAACUGUGUACAACAGUGCUAUUCUUCACUUGGAAGAUGUCCCUUUUCCUUCAUGUAUACUGCACAAAACUCAAUAAUAUUUAAAGAUUUGAAGAUAAUUGGAGCAAAGGUUCAGGAAGAAAAGUGAAAAAAGAGACAAAUCCUACAAAGGAAGGUCAUAUUUACAAAUGCUUAGUAU